GUCCUUGUCGAUUAGUGGUUAGAUCAUCACGUUGUGGACUGCACCCACAAAUCCGUGAAGACGGAGGCUCGAAUCCUCCCUGGGACA
rnacentral:tRNA from 1 species